rnacentral:lncRNA from 1 species
CCUUAAAAGGGCCCAAUAGUUUAGUACUCACUCCCUAGAUCUUCAGGAGAUUCUGAGAUUACACUCACUCCUUAUCCCAAAGCAUGAAAUUCACCACUCUGCUCUUGGUGACAGUUCUGGCAGCGGCCCUGGACUGUGUCCAAGUUGCCACCUCCGACUCUGUUCCUGACUCUGCGCCCCCUACUGAUAAUGAGAACUCUGCUGACCAUGAGUACUCUGAAGAAUUCUCAGAUCUACCAGAUGAACUCAAGUUCCUCAAACUCUUCCUAGUGAAAGGUAUCGCUGCAGCAAAAAAUGGCGCUAGUAAAGCAAAAACAGGAAUGCAAACUGGGGCCGAAGGUGGAAAAAAAGUCUAUGAAGAUGCAAAUGAAUUUAUAAAAGGACUGAAAGAACGGUUUGGUAAAUCCCGUUUGCUAUCUAAACAAUGAAAAGAAUGGGGUCACUGGAUUCAAAGCCUAACACCCUUGUGCCCUAAAGCCAUUAAACUGAGAGCAUCCAACUCACUCUGUGCCUG